rnacentral:lncRNA from 1 species
GAAAAGGGGGAAAAGAAAUAAGAACCCUACCUGAAAAAUUUGGGGAAAAUCAAGAGAAAUCAAGAAAUCAAGCAUUAGAAAGGUAAAUUUCAUUGAUUUUCCUUGUGAUUUUCACUACCCAUGCAUUUUUUUCUCAUUUCCAUGCAAAAUUAGAAAGUGGGUAUGGACACCCAUGCUGGCCAAACCUCCAUGGAUGAGUUUUGAGCUUGAGUUUUGGUUGAUUUUAAUUGAAUUAAGUAAUUUUAGUUAGGUUAUAUUGUAAUAUAGAAAAAAUAAGCUAGAAAAAUAAUUUUCUCCCAUUGAAACCCAUUAUGCCGAAUUUUCUAGGGAAAUAUUGGCUGCUGAUCUUGAUGUUUAUUUGAGGAAUUAUGAGCCUAGAAAAAUAAUGAGAAUUUUCAGAGCAAAAAUACGAAUUUUUACCCACUAGGGGUAUUUUCGUAAUUUGUUGUCGAGACUGAUAAUUUGCACCACACUGAGGGACAUUAAGUCAAUUUGGGUGCAAUUGAGGUAUAGAAACUGAAAAAAAUUAAUUUGGAUUUUAAACGGACGCGUAUUUCGAUUUAUCGGGUAAAAGACCGAAAUAGGCUAAUAUCGCGUUUAAGUCGCUUUAGGCUAUUGCAUUUCAUACCAUGCAUUAGUAUAGGAUUUAAGUCAAUUAUAUAGUGAUUUAGCAUCAAUGUGGUAAAUUGUGAAAUUUUUGCAAUGUGUCUAGGAGGAGAGCCUUCCGGUAAAGGUAAGGAAGUCAUACUCGACGAACAGUGAUCGGGGCACCUAGAAAGCAUUUAAUCUGUACAAAGGGUGAGUAAACCUAUUAUUAUUGUAAAUUAUCUAGAGUUUAUUUUUAAAUGCUCUUUAUAUAUUUUAUGAAAUGAAAAUGAUAUUAAAAUGGGACUUUUGAUGUUUUAGAAAUAAAUGUGACAAACAAAUAUAUUGUGUUGAUUAUCUGAAAUAAGAAACUUUUGAUUAUGAAAUUGAGUAAAUGGGAGGCUGUCAAUUGUCUUGAAAAAUAUAUUUUCCUAUGAAUGGCUUAUGAUAUAUGAGUAUAUGUGGCUAUAUUUUAUAAUUGCAUUGGGAAUUUAUGUAAGCUGUCUUUUACUAUGCAGGCUGGGUAAAUAAAUAAAAGCCACGUUAUACUGUCGAAAUUUUAUUCAAAUUGGUUGGUUUAGUCACUGCAGGGAUGGGUUUUGUAAAACCCGACCUUAUAAAAUACUAUUCAUGACAUACAUGUGAUGAUAGCAUGAUUGCAUGCUAGGAGAGUCCCGAAAAAUUUACAAAAGUCGGUAUUGUACCUAGAGGUACAACAAAGUUUAUUUAAUCCUCGAACUAGAUCAAAUAGGAAUUUUAAGGUGAGAUUAAGAGUUUCACAGUUCAUGGAUGACUUAAAAUGGUAAUUUGGAGUUUGAGGAUCAAUUUGGAGUCAAAUCGGAAUUUUCACUAACUAGGGGCAAAAUGGUCAUUUGCCACCUGGGGACAAAAUGGGAAUUUUAGAAAAGAUUUUUUUGACCCCAUUUGACUUAUUAGAGUAUAAUUUGACUUAUUGAAGUAUGAUUUGAGGUUUAGAAGUGAAAAAUUUUAAUUUCGGUAUAAUUUGGAGUAUAGGGGUAAAAUGGUAAUUUUGCCACCUCAGGGGCAAAAUUGUAAUUUUCCACCACCAGGAUAUUUUUUCCAGCACAUGGUCUUCCUUUGUCUUCAUCUUUGACCCUUGACUAAACAUGUGGUGGAGAUAAAAUGUUUAAAUUUUUAAAAUUUUAAAAACGGGCCAAUGACAUGAUGCCAUGUGUCAUGCCUUUAUUAAUUUAUUAUUUUCCUUUUUAAAAGGCACAAAAUCAGCCCAUCUUCCACCCCAUGGCCGGCCAAACCAGCAAGAAGAGAGAGAAAAAAAAAACAAAACCCUAGAGAGAGAAAAUCAAAGAAAAAGUGUGAAUUUUCAAGGAAAUUAAGUGAAAAAGGUGAGAUUUUUUCUAUUAAGCUUGAGUUUUCUUAUUCCCAAGCAUUUCUCUUUAUUUUCCAUGAUUAAAUUACAUGUUUUCAUGAUGAAUUCAAUUCUGAAAAAAUGGGUUAGGAGAGAGAAAGUUGUUGGAUUUAUUUGAUUUUAAUUUAUGUUAGUGUUUUUAGUUAGUUUAGCAUAUUUAGAAACAAAACAACAAGAAAAGAAUUUAUUUUCUCCCCCAACCAUUAAUGGCUGAAUUUACCAUGUAGUGAGUGAGGAUGAGUUUGAUUUUAUUCUAGGAGAAUUGGUUAAGGAAUGAUGAAUUAUGAGCCUAGAAAAAUAAUGGGAAUUUUCGGAGCAAAAAUACGAAUUUUUACCCACUAGGGGUAUUUUCGUAAUUUGCUGUUGGGACUGAUAAUUUGCACCACACUGAGGGACAUUAAGUUAAUUUGGGUGCAAUUGAGGUAUAGAAACUGAAAAGAAUUAAAUUGGAGUUUAAACGGACCCGUUAGGAAUUUAAUCGGGUGAUAAGACGAAUUAGGCCAAUACCGGGUUUAGAUAGUUACCAGUGCAUUUUUGCAUUCCAUAUCAUGCAUUGGUAGUCUAAAUUAGUUUAAUUUUGAUUUAGUACCAACUUGGUGAAACUCUCGAUUUUGUACUGUGUCAAGGUGGUGAGUCCUCCGAUAAAGGCAAGGAAAUUGCAUCCGAGGACCAGUAGACAGAGUGCUUCGAAAGUCUGCAUUCUAGACAUUGUGAGUAAACUUACUGUCAUUUUAAUUAUCUAGGGUGGUUUUUAGAUGCUUUCAUGAAUUCUAUGGAAAAAGGAAUUUAAAAAGGUAAAUUUUCAUGUUUUAUGAAUAAAUGAGUUUCAAUGAAAUUAAUUUAUAAAUUGUUUUGGAAUUAAUAAUGAUUUUGAAAAAUAGAGUACACGGAGAUUGUUAAUUGUGACAAUUUGAUUGUUUAAAUUGACUGGCUUAUGAUAAAUCGAGCAUGAUUGGCUAGUUGGCAAUUGUAUUAAAAUGUGAAUUGUUUGGUUGCCUUAAAAAACUGCGAAUUACAGAAUUGCCAUAUCAUGUUAUUGAGUUUUAUUAUAUGGUGGAUUAUAUAUUAAUUAAUCACUGCAGUAGGGGGUUUCUGUGGACCAGCCUUUUAGAGGGGUACGGUAAACCCCAUUAUAUUCUUACCUUGAACGGAGAGGCGCGUAGGGUAUCUCCUGGGGUAAAGCUUAGGGUUCACUUCACGCCAAACCAUCACGUGAAGGGGAACUCAGCCAACGCCAAGGAACAACUAUGUUUUCAAAACAAAAAAUGAUUUAUGUGAAAUGUGAAUUUUAAUAGCCUUGGCGGUCUCGGUAGGAUGCCUCGGCCAAGGUGUCCCCGAGAACAGAUUUAUGGCACUAGCCUAGAUUUUUGUGAGAUUCAUAAGCCUUUUUACGUAUUUUGAGCGAGAUGUGUUCUAAUUGUAUAACCCAGUUUAUGAUGAUUUACCUUAUUGUCUCAUGUACUCAACUCUAGAUGUUUAUGAUGGGUCUGUUUACUCAUUGGGAUUUUAUAAUCUCACCACCCUCCUUUCCACCCAUUUCAGGUUCAGUAUAGACUGUAGAUAGGUGAUCUCAUCGAGGACUACAGUGGGAUCUGUAUUUUUCAAACCGUAGGUUCACAGUCCUCUUUACUUUUGUUUAUUCGAGGGCACUCUUGUUAUUGUAAAUUAAAUUAAAUAUUUUGGCUUACUGUAUUUAAGUAUGUAUAAAUUUAUUUAGCUUUUACGCUAUAAAAAUUAUUCACG